GAUAAUAAUAAGUCUAAUCUUUCUCAGAAAGAUUUGAUAUAAAAGCUCAGAAUGCUUCCUCCUUUUAACACUCACCGAAUCUUCCCAGAAGGAAUAAAGGGCUCCAAGCCAUCAAAUCUGCAGUGAACAAAAUGGAAGUGCCUUCCAAUCUUGGGUACAUCAGUUCAAGGCUCCUGUUGACCAUGAAAGAUUUGUCUUCAAAAUAAAAACACACACUGAUGGAAGAGGAGGAGAGCAACUCAGUGUUGUGCUGGUACGAAGGCAGUAGAUCUAGCCAGCAUGAGGAUGCAGAAGGGGCUUUGCUCCAGCAACCAUCCCAUCUCAGGUUCGAGGAGCGCAUACUAGGCAGCAGGAUGCAAGUGGAUGCCUACGACCUCCCCCAUAUCUAAG
rnacentral:lncRNA from 1 species